rnacentral:rRNA from 1 species
UAGGGAAUCUUCCGCAAUGGGCGAAAGCCUGACGGAGCAACGCCGCGUGAGUGAUGAAGGUCUUCGGAUCGUAAAACUCUGUUAUUAGGGAAGAACAAAUGUGUAAGUAACUAUGCACGUCUUGACGGUACCUAAUCAGAAAGCCACGGCUAACUACGUGCCAGCAGCCGCGGUAAUACGUAGGUGGCAAGCGUUAUCCGGAAUUAUUGGGCGUAAAGCGCGCGUAGGCGGUUUUUUAAGUCUGAUGUGAAAGCCCACGGCUCAACCGUGGAGGGUCAUUGGAAACUGGAACACUUGAGUGCAGAAGAGGAAAGUGGAAUUCCAUGUGUAGCAGUGAAAUGCGCAGAGAUAUGGAGGAACACCAGUGGCGAAGGCGACUUUCUGGUCUGUAACUGACGCUGAUGUGCGAAAGCGUGGGGAUCAAACAGG